UACGUAGGGAGCAAGCGUUGUCCGGAAUCAUUGGGCGUAAAGCGCGCGUAGGUGGCUUCGUAAGUCCGUUGUGAAAGUCAAAGGCUCAACCUUUGAAAGCCGAUGGAUACUGCGGAGCUAGAGUACGGAAGAGGCGAGUGGAAUUCCUGGUGUAGCGGUGGAAUGCGCAGAUAUCAGGAGGAACACCAAUAGCGAAGGCAGCUCGCUGGGACGUUACUGACACUGAGGCGCGAAAGCGUGGGGAGCGAA
rnacentral:rRNA from 1 species